GGUUUUGAUAGAGCAAAAAGAGGGAAAUUGACUCCACUUGCCAAGCGGCCAGAGACAUAAUGAAAUUGGCAGAAGCACCAGAAGGAGAAAUGUGUUUUUAAACACAGCAACUUACUGCAAGAUACUUUUCAAUGCCUGGAUGAGCAAUUGAAACAGCUUGACUGGUUGCUUUCAGAAGGGGAAUUGGACCAAUAAUUGAAUAGAGAAAACUGCCAUUCUCCAAGACAGAAUGGGAUGAAAUUCAUGAAUGGUUUGAAAACCCUCUCUGAGUAUGACUGACCUCAUCUAGAAUUGCAAUAUUCCCUGACCUGUGUCGGGAUUGGCUCACAGAGGAGCCACAGUAUUCCUUGUAUCAUUCUGUAUACUCUGCAAUAGAACUUCCAGACCUAGCUGAAAUGUAAUUUCUUCCAGCAGUGCAGCCUAAUAAACCAUCUGGAUAUUCACAUUGUCAUUGGCUGGAUCAUGCAACAUUAAACGAAUCACAGACACUCUAACAGUGGGUGUAGGAGGGUGCAAGUUCAACCUGGAGCAUUAACCUGUAGGAUCUCGAUCACACAUUGUGGGAUGUUUGUCUUUCUGGAGAUGACCAUGCUCUCUGUCUUCUUGGUGUUGAUUGAAAGGCCUCUGUGGUUACUUUCUGCUGCCACUAUGACUGAGGUACCCAAUUGCUUCAAGCAGUCUUCAGUGACUAAGAAGAGUGUGAUAACUGGC